GGACUACCCGGGUAUCUAAUCCCGUUCGCUCCCCACGCUUUCGUCCAUCAGCGUCAGUACAUACUUAGUGAGCUGCCUUCGCGAUCGGUGUUCUAUGUAAUAUCUAUGCAUUUCACCGCUACACUACAUAUUCCGCCCACUCCAAUAUGACUCAAGACCGCCAGUAUCAAGGGCAGUUCUACGGUUGAGCCGCAGACUUUCACCCCUGACUUAACGGCCCGCCUACGGACCCUUUAAACCCAAUGAUUCCGGAUAACGCUCGGACCCUCCGUAUUACCGCGGCUGCUGGCAC
rnacentral:rRNA from 1 species